rnacentral:rRNA from 1 species
GAAGCCGAAGCCGGUGGAGUAACCAUUUGGAGCUAGCCGUCGAAGGUGGGACAAAUGAUUGGGGUGAAGUCGUAACAAGGUAGCCGUAUCGGAAGGUGCGGCUGGAUCACCUCCUUU